rnacentral:rRNA from 1 species
UACCCAGUCGAGCGGCGAACGGGUGAGUAACGCGUGGGUACCUGCCCUGAGGUGGGGGAUAACCCGGGGAAACUCGGGCUAAUACCGCAUAUGACCGUGAGGUCAAAGGGGGCCGCAAGGCUCUCGCCACAGGAGGGGCCCGCGUCCGAUUAGCUAGUUGGUAGGGUAAUGGCCUACCAAGGCGACGAUCGGUAGCCGGCCUGAGGGGGUGAUCGGCCACACUGGAACUGAGACACGGUCCAG